GUGCUCGCUUUGGCAGCACAUACACUAAAACUGGAACAAUACAAAGAUGAGCAUGGCCCCCUGCACAAGGAUGACACACAAAUUUGCAAAAUGUUCCAUAUUAAA